AAUCAACGCUGGCGGCGUGCCUAACACAUGCAAGUCGAACGCGAAAGUCCCGCAAGGGAUAAGUAGAGUGGCAAACGGGUGAGUAACACGUGGGUGACCUGCCUUCGAGUGGGGGAUAACGUCCCGAAGGGACGCUAAUACCGCAUGACAUCCUGCUUUUGAACAGGUGGAGAUCAAAGCUGGGGAUCGCAAGACCUAGCGCUUGAAGAGGGGCCCGCGCCUGANAGCUAGUUGGUGGGGUAACGGCUCACCAAGGCGACGAUCAGUAUCCGGCCUGAGAGGGCGGACGGACACACUGGGACUGAGACACGGCCCAGACUCCUACGGGAGGCAGCAGUGGGGAAUUGUUCGCAAUGGGCGCAAGCCUGACGACGCAACGCCGCGUGGAGGAUGAAGACC
rnacentral:rRNA from 1 species